rnacentral:rRNA from 1 species
AGAGUUUGAUCCUGGCUCAGGACGAACGCUGGCGGCGCGCCUAACACAUGCAAGUCGAACGAGCGAGAGAGAGCUUGCUUUCUCGAGCGAGUGGCGAACGGGUGAGUAACGCGUGAGGAACCUGCCUCAAAGAGGGGGACAACAGUUGGAAACGACUGCUAAUACCGCAUAAGCCCACAGGUCGGCAUCGACCAGAGGGAAAAGGAGCAAUCCGCUUUGAGAUGGCCUCGCGUCCGAUUAGCUAGUUGGUGAGGUAACGGCCCACCAAGGCAACGAUCGGUAGCCGGACUGAGAGGUUGAACGGCCACAUUGGGACUGAGACACGGCCCAGACUCCUACGGGAGGCAGCAGUGGGGAAUAUUGCACAAUGGGGGAAACCCUGAUGCAGCGACGCCGCGUGGAGGAAGAAGGUCUUCGGAUUGUAAACUCCUGUUGUUGAGGAAGAUAAUGACGGUACUCAACAAGGAAGUGACGGCUAACUACGUGCCAGCAGCCGCGGUAAAACGUAGGUCACAAGCGUUGUCCGGAAUUACUGGGUGUAAAGGGAGCGCAGGCGGGAAGACAAGUUGGAAGUGAAAUCUAUGGGCUCAACCCAUAAACUGCUUUCAAAACUGUUUUUCUUGAGUAGUGCAGAGGUAGGCGGAAUUCCCGGUGUAGCGGUGGAAUGCGUAGAUAUCGGGAGGAACACCAGUGGCGAAGGCGGCCUACUGGGCACCAACUGACGCUGAGGCUCGAAAGUGUGGGUAGCAAACAGGAUUAGAUACCCUGGUAGUCCACACCGUAAACGAUGAUUACUAGGUGUUGGAGGAUUGACCCCUUCAGUGCCGCAGUUAACACAAUAAGUAAUCCACCUGGGGAGUACGACCGCAAGGUUGAAACUCAA